AUCAUCACAUUAAUUUGAGAAUCAAAAUAAAUAAAUGUCAAAUUAUGUACACAUAAAUAUAUAUAUAUAUACACACCAUAUAAGAAGCACAAUUAACAAAAUUUCAUUUAGCCUGAUCUCUUGUUACAUCCAAAAACGUUUUUCCUUUCAUCACAAUAUCUGUUCAUCCGAUCUAGAGAAAAUUGCUGACGUGCACAAACAUCCUAGGAGAAAGUGGAAACCACUUGGGAAGAUAAGAAGGUUAGGCUAACUAGUGGAUUUCAGUUGGAGUUUCAAAUAAGUGAUUCUUACUAUCUGUCGUAGUUUUGGUGAACAAAAUUACCUGCUAUCUGUUCUUGAGAGGUGACAGAUAUCUGAUAAAUUUAGUCAAGGUGCUCGAAAGCAGACCCACACAUCACAGUCAUAAAAAAAAAAUUAAAAAAAAAAAAAAGGUUGGGCUAACUAGCCGACAGGCAGCCAAGUUGCAGAACUAAACCCUUUUCAUAUGAAAUUGGCAACUGCUGAUAUGGCUGUGGCACAACCCACAACAAAUCACUCCAUUGAUCAUUUUGAAAAUGUACGUCAGGCGUUGAUAGCAAUCAGCAGCAAAAAGGUCACACACGAAAAGAACAAGGAAUACAAGAUCACGUUCUCAAGUUUCUUGACUAGGAAUUAUCAAGAAUCUACAAAGCAGGACAGAAGGGAAAAGCACCAUCAAAUAUCAAACAUAUAAUUCUGGUUUGAUUCCACAGAUGAAGAGAAGCGUCAGCAGAUUGGAGAGCAAAGGAAGGAGUGAAAAGAACCUACAUAGCAAUCUUUUCCCUCAAUACGAUACUGUGCCUCCCUCAAAUCUGCAACACUGCGUCUGACCUGCUCACCACGAUACUCGAGAACCUGAAACAAGUAAACGUAUGCUCUACUAAGUGAUUUCUAGAUUUGAUGCUGAAGCAAUUAGAAAUAUGUGCACUUUGAACAUCGCAUUAUCUGUUGUAGUGUCACUUUUUAGUAUGCUUUGUUUAGCAUUUUGUCUUGGCUUCUUC